GCUCUUAUAGCGUUGGGCGAAGGGCCCCCGAAACUCGUGGGGGCGAUGGACGAAGCGAGUCCAACGGGACAUCUGCCUUCGGUACCUAGCGCCCCCAGCAUGCCACGCGGCGCCUGCAGCUCCCAACAUGCGGCGCGGCCGCCACGCCCGGGACUCAACCUUUGCCAGCGAACUGCAAGUCCCAUGGUGCACCGCUGCCGGAAGUGGCCUGCGCCGCGGGCCUAUUCGAAACGGCACGUGGGCCCGGGCAGAGGCUGCUGGCGGUAGGUUCGCCCUGACGCCUUGGUGGUUCCCUGGCCGCGGCGACCGGUGGUCCCAUGUCCAUCCCGGCUCAGUGAGACGGAGUCUUGCUCUGUCGCCCAGGCUGGAGUGCAGUGGCACCAUCUUGGCUCACUACAACCUCCGCCUCCCGGGUUCACGCCAUUCUUCUGCCUCAGCCUCCUGAGUAGCUGGGACUACAGGCGCGCAUCACCACGCCCGGCUAAUUUUUGUAUUUUUAGUAGAGACGGGGUUUCACCAUGUUGGCCAGGCUGGUGUCAAACUCCUGACCUCGUGAUCCACCCGCCUCGGCCUCCCAAAGUGCUGGGAUUACAGGCGUCAGCCACCGCGCCCACUCAGUAUCUUAUCUCUUAAAGCCGCCUUCUCUCCUGCGCGAUUG
rnacentral:sRNA from 1 species